rnacentral:rRNA from 1 species
CACAUCUAAGGAAGGCAGCAGGCGCGCAAAUUACCCAAUCCUGACUCAGGGAGGUAGUGACAAGAAAUAACAAUAAACCGGCUUAUGCCGGUUUAAUUGGAAUGAGUACAAUUUAAACAUCUUAACGAGGAACAAUUGGAGGGCAAGUCUGGUGCCAGCAGCCGCGGUAAUUCCAGCUCCAAUAGCGUAUACUAAAGUUGUUGCAGUUAAAAAGCUCGUAGUUGGAUUUCUGUGGGGACGGAGCGGCCGGCCGCAACACGCGGUUCGAGCUAGCGCUUUCCCUACAUCCUGCCGCGAACCGUGCUACCAUUAAUUUGGUGGCGCCGGGGAUCGGCUCGAUUACUUUGAGAAAAAUAGAGUGUUCAAAGCAGGCCACAUGCCUUGAAUAAGUUAGCAUGGAAUAAUAACUAAGGACUUCGGUUCUAUUUUGUUGGUGUUCGGGACUGAAGUAAUGAUUGAUAGGGACAGUUGGGGCGGUCUGUAUUCCAAAGCGAGAGGUGAAAUUCUUAGACCUUCGGAAGACAAACAGCUGCGAAAGCGUUCCGCAAGGAUGUUCCCUUUGAUCAAGAACGAAAGUUGGGGGAUCGAAGACGAUCAGAUACCGUCGUAGUCUCAACUAUAAACUAUACCAGCUAGGGAUCGGCCAACGUUAUUUUAUACCGACUUGGUCGGCACCUUAUGAGAAAUCAAAGCAUCUGGGUUCCGGGGGGAGUAUGGUCGCAAGGCUGAAACUUAAAGGAAUUGACGGAAGGGCACCACCAGCCGUGGAGCCUGUGGCUUAAUUUGACUCAACACGGGAAAACUUACCAGGUCCAGACAUAGUAAGGAUUGACAGAUUGAUAGCUCUUUCUUGAUUCUGUGGGUGGUGGUGCAUGGCCGUUCUUAGUUGGUGGAGUGAUUUGUCUGGUUAAUUCCGUUAACGAACGAGACCCCAGCCUGCUAAAUAGCGCGCGUGAGCUUUGCUCGCGGCGAGCUUCUUAGAGGGACUCUGAUGCGCGAUAGCACAUGGAAGUUUGGGGCAAUAACAGGUCUGUGAUGCCCUUAGAUGUUCUGGGCCGCACACGGGCUACACUGGCGCCUGCAACGAGCAUAUCAGCUGGCCCGAGAGGGUCUUGGCUAAUCUUUUGAACCGGCGCCGUGCUUGGGAUUGACCUUUGCAAUUGUUGGUCAUGCAACGAGGAAUGCCUUGUAAACGCGAGUCAUCAGCUCGCAUUGAAUACGUCCCUGCCCUUUGUACACACCGCCCGUCGCUCCUACCGAUGAAUGUUCCGAUGAAAUUUUCGGAGAGUGCCUGUGAACUUGGCUCUGCCUUGCGAACGGGAAGCUCAAAGUCACUUAAAUCUGAACAUU